CCUACGGGGGGCAGCAGUCGAGAAUCAUUCACAAUGGGGGAAACCCUGAUGGUGCGACGCCGCGUGGGGGAAUGAAGGUCUUCGGAUUGUAAACCCCUGUCAUGUGGGAGCAAAUUAAAAAGAUCGUACCACAAGAGGAAGAGACGGCUAACUCUGUGCCAGCAGCCGCGGUAAUACAGAGGUCUCAAGCGUUGUUCGGAAUCACUGGGCGUAAGGCGUGCGUAGGCUGUUUCGUAAGUCGUGUGUGAAAGGCGCGGGCUCAACCCGCGGACGGCACAUGAUACUGCGAGACUAGAGUAAUGGAGGGGGAACCGGAAUUCUCGGUGUAGCAGUGAAAUGCGUAGAUAUCGUGAGGAACACUCGUGGCGAAGGCGGGUUCCUGGACAUUAACUGACGCUGAGGCACGAAGGCCAGGGGAGCGAAAGGGAUUAGAUACCCCAGUAGUC
rnacentral:rRNA from 1 species